ensembl:snoRNA SNORA74 Small nucleolar RNA SNORA74
UCCAGCAGUCAUCAGCUUUCCUGGCUAGUGUGAUGGCUGUGACAGUGUUUCGCUGUAGGAACAGCAAGCACUGUCUUCACUGAGGCUUGGCUCCAGGUGCUGUUUUGGUGUUGGGCCAAGUACCUUUGGGCAGUGUUUUGCACCUCUGAGAGUGAAAUGACUCCUGCAGAGUUGGUCCUAGUCUAGUUGCAAACAAU